UACGGGGGGGAGCAAGCGUUAUCCGGAAUGAUUGGGCGUAAAGGGUGCGUAGGCGGGUUUUAAGUCAGAGGUGAAAUCCUGGAGCUCAACUCCAGAACUGCCUUUGAUACUGGCGAUCUUGAGUCCGGAAGAGGUGAGUGGAACUCCUAGUGUAGAGGUGGAAUUCGUAGAUAUUAGGAAGAACACCAGUGGCGAAGGCGGCUCACUGGUCCGGUACUGACGCUGAGGUGCGAAAGCGUGGGGAGCAAACAGGG
rnacentral:rRNA from 1 species